UGGGGAAUAUUGGACAAUGGGGGCAACCCUGAUCCAGCAAUACCGCGUGAGUGAAGAAGGCCUUCGGGUUGUAAAGCUCUUUUACCGGGGAAGAUAAUGACGGUACCCGGGGAAUAAGCUCCGGCUAACUUCGUGCCAGCAGCCGCGGUAAUACGAAGGGAGCUAGCGUUGUUCGGAAUUACUGGGCGUAAAGGGCGCGUAGGCGGUUUUGUAAGUCAGAUGUGAAAGCCCCGGGCUUAACCUGGGAACUGCAUUUGAGACUGCAAGACUAGAGAUCGAGAGAGGAAAGUGGAAUUACGAGUGUAGAAGUGAAAUUCGUAGAUAUCUGGAAGAACACCAGUGGCGAAGGCGGUCAACUGGCCCAUAACUGACGCUCAUGCACGAAAGCGUGGGGAGCAAACA
rnacentral:rRNA from 1 species